UUUGUGGCUUCACAGCAGACAAAAUGCUCUGGAGCAGCACCGAAUUUUUGCAACUUUUCAAAGUUCUCUGCUUUUGUUUGCUCAUAACCGGUAGCAUUGCCCGGCCAAGCGUGACAUUUAUUGAUGAGAGUUCACCGUACGAGCAAACUUUAGAAAGGUCACCACGGUCCCCAGAUGCUGUAGUUAAGCGAAGAGUUGUUGUUGUACCUCCGGAGAGACGAGGCAGAUUUUUCCUCCCCGACAAUGGAUGUUGGGAAUUUUUCGGCUUUAAGAUUUGUAACUUCACGCAAACAACCGGGGAGACUAAUGUGGAAAUUGUUAUAAAAGAAGGACGAAACUACUAUCGAAAUGGAAGGAAAGAUAGAUAUGAGUCUGGAAUGCCCUUUAGGGCGAAAUUAGAUUCCUGAAUUUGGCUCUAAUAAACUUGAAAACAUCUUUAUAAUAACUGUUGUAUUUUCAAAAUCUUUAGAAUAAAACAACCACCAGCA